AGAGUUUGAUCCUGGCUCAGAUUGAACGCUGGCGGCAUGCUUUACACAUGCAAGUCGAACGGCAGCACGGGCUUCGGCCUGGUGGCGAGUGGCGAACGGGUGAGUAAUGCGUCGGAACGCGCCGAGUAGUGGGGGAUAACGCAGCGAAAGCUGUGCUAAUACCGCAUACGUACUGAGGUAGAAAGUGGGGGACCUUCGGGCCUCACGCUAUUCGAGCGGCCGACGUCUGAUUAGCUAGUUGGUGGGGUAAAGGCUCACCAAGGCGACGAUCAGUAGCGGGUCUGAGAGGAUGAUCCGCCACACUGGGACUGAGACACGGCCCAGACUCCUACGGGAGGCAGCAGUGGGGAAUUUUGGACAAUGAGCGCAAGCCUGAUCCAGCCAUGCCGCGUGUCUGAAGAAGGCCUU
rnacentral:rRNA from 1 species